AGGGAAUAUUGCGCAAUGGGGGCAACCCUGACGCAGCGACGCCGCGUGAGCGAUGAAGGCCUUCGGGUCGUAAAGCUCUGUCGUAUGGGAAUAAAAAAAUGAAUGUACCAUACAAGAAAGGAUCGGCUAACUUCGUGCCAGCAGCCGCGGUAAGACGAGGGAUCCUAGCGUUGUUCGGAAUCAUUGGGCGUAAAGCGGGCGUAGGUGGCUAUUUAAGUCAGUUGUGAAAGCCUGAGGCUUAACCUCAGAAGUGCAAUUGAUACUAUUUAGCUUGAGUGUGGUAGAGGUAACUAGAAUUCCUGGUGUAGUGGUGAAAUACGUAGAUAUCAGGAGGAAUGCCGGUUGCGAAGGCGGGUUACUAGACCAACACUGACACUGAGGCCCGAAAGCGUGGGGAUCAAAC
rnacentral:rRNA from 1 species